rnacentral:rRNA from 1 species
GACGAACGCUGGCGGCGUGCUUAACACAUGCAAGUCGAACGAUGAAGCCUAGCUUGCUAGGUGGAUUAGUGGCGAACGGGUGAGUAAUACGUGAGUAACCUACCUUUAACUCUGGGAUAAGCCUGGGAAACUGGGUCUAAUACCGGAUACGACCAAUCUCCGCAUGGGGUGUUGGUGGAAAGCGUUAUGUAGUGGUUAUAGAUGGGCUCACGGCCUAUCAGCUUGUUGGUGAGGUAAAGGCUCACCAAGGCGACGACGGGUAGCCGGCCUGAGAGGGUGACCGGCCACACUGGGACUGAGACACGGCCCAGACUCCUACGGGAGGCAGCAGUGGGGAAUAUUGCACAAUGGGCGCAAGCCUGAUGCAGCGACGCCGCGUGAGGGAUGACGGCCUUCGGGUUGUAAACCUCUGUUAGCAGGGAAGAAGAGAGAUUGACGGUACCUGCAGAGAAAGCGCCGGCUAACUACGUGCCAGCAGCCGCGGUAAUACGUAGGGCGCGAGCGUUGUCCGGAAUUAUUGGGCGUAAAGAGCUUGAGGCGGUUUGUCGCGUCUGCUGUGAAAGGCCGGAGCUUAACUCCGUGUAUUGCAGUGGGUACGGGCAGACUAGAGUGCAGUAGGGGAGACUGGAAUUCCUGGUGUAGCGGUGGAAUGCGCAGAUAUCAGGAGGAACACCGAUGGCGAAGGCAGGUCUCUGGGCUGUAACUGACGCUGAGAAGCGAAAGCAUGGGGAGCGAACAGGAUUAGAUACCCUGGUAGUCCAUGCCGUAAACGUUGGGCACUAGGUGUGGGGAACAUUCCACGUUUUCCGCGCCGUAGCUAACGCAUUAAGUGCCCCGCCUGGGGAGUACGGCCGCAAGGCUAAAACUCAAAUAAAUUGACGGGGGCCCGCACAAGCGGCGGAGCAUGCGGAUUAAUUCGAUGCAACGCGAAUAACCUUACCAAGGCUUGACAUAUACUGGACCGCAUCAGAGAUGGUGUUUCCCUUCGGGGCUGGUAUACAGGUGGUGCAUGGUUGUCGUCAGCUCGUGUCGUGAGAUGUUGGGUUAAGUCCCGCAACGAGCGCAACCCUCGUUCUAUGUUGCCAGCACGUUAUGGUGGGGACUCAUAGGAGACUGCCGGGGUCAACUCGGAGGAAGGUGGGGAUGACGUCAAAUCAUCAUGCCCCUUAUGUCUUGGGCUUCACGCAUGCUACAAUGGCCGGUACAGAGGGUUGCGAUACUGUGAGGUGGAGCUAAUCCCUAAAAGCCGGUCUCAGUUCGGAUUGGGGUCUGCAACUCGACCCCAUGAAGUCGGAGUCGCUAGUAAUCGCAGAUCAGCAACGCUGCGGUGAAUACGUUCCCGGGCCU